rnacentral:rRNA from 1 species
CCUACGGGUGGCAGCAGUGAGGAAUAUUGGUCAAUGGACGGAAGUCUGAACCAGCCAUGCCGCGUGCAGGAAGACGGCUCUAUGAGUUGUAAACUGUUUUUGCACAAGGGUAAACCUGAAUACGUGUAUUCAGCUGAAAGUACUGUACGAAUCAGGAUCGGCUAACUCAGUGCCAGCAGCCGAGGUAAUACGGAGGUUCCAAGUGUUAACCGGAUGUAUUGGGUGUAAAGGGUGGGUAGGCGGGUGGAUAAGUUAGCGGUGAAAUGUCCGAGCAUAACUCGGGAACUGCCUCUAAUACUGUUGCUCUAGAGAGUAGGUGAGGUAGGCGGAAUGUAUGGUGUAGCGGUGAAAUGCUUAGAGAUCA